AGGAGGAAAAGGAGGAAGAUAGAACAGCUGGAAAUAGAGGAGAAGAAAAGGAAUAAGGAAAAAACCUUGAGCAGUACCUGGCCUAUAUGGGGGCCCUCCUGCCUAUGGCCGGGUUUGGUGAAAGGAAGAAAACAAGGAAGAUAGGACAGCUGGAAAUGGAGGAGAGGCGGAGAAAGAAUAAGAGACCCAGAGCCUGACACCAGAGCAAGCACUUAAGGCGACAGUGGCAAGAAAACACU